GGUUGCAACAUCCCCGUGGGUUGGGUCCUGGCCUAUCGAUGGCCAGGUACAGCGAAUCCACUGCAGCC
rnacentral:sRNA from 21 species